UGGAAUGACCGUUUGUUUAGCUUCGAGCCCUCCUGCGCAUUUUCACAGUAGGAGUACAUGAAUGAGUAGUAAAAGAAAUGCUAGCUUCAGAUCUUCGCAUCGCAUGCCAAGAUGCAAGACAUGAUUUUAUCUUUCAUCUCAAGUUUGCUCAUUUCAUUUGUCUGAACACAAAGGUCAGAGGGAUCGAUCACCAUUCAGCUGAUCAGCUCGAACUUCUCGCGAUGUGGUUGGACCACAUGUUUUUCCGGCUAGAACACCAUGCACUUCAUGUUUGGGAAUAUAGAGCAACAAAUAUAUGAGAGUGAAACUGGAAUUACAGGCUGAGGCCCAUGAAGUCCCAGCUUCUUGUUGUAUGGAUCUCGAGCAUCCUACUCCUGAAUAUUGAUAUGACCUCUUCUGCUUCUGCUCAUAUAAUGAUCAUUGGAGUUUUUGGUAA